rnacentral:rRNA from 1 species
AUUGAACGCUGGCGGCAGGCCUAACACAUGCAAGUCGAACGAGUGGCGGACGGGUGAGUAAUGUCUGGGAAACUGCCCGAUGGAGGGGGAUAACUACUGGAAACGGUAGCUAAUACCGCAUACCCUCGGAUGUGCCCAGAUGGGAUUAGCUUGUAGGUGAGGUAACGGCUCACCUAGGCGACGAUCCCUAGCUGGUCUGCGAGGAUGACCAGCAACACGGGAACUGAGCCACGGUCCAGACUCCUACGGGAGGCAGCAGGGGGGAAUAUUGCACAAGGGGCGGAAGCCUGACGCAGCCAUGCCGCGUGGAUGAAGAAGGCCUUCGGGUUGUAAAGUACUUUCAGCGGGGAGGCGUGACCCGCAGAAGAAGCACCGGCUAACUCCGUGCCAGCAGCCGCGGUAAUAC